CAAGAUCACACAAUAGGUGGUGCUAUAACUGUCAAAAAACCUUUAAAACCAUAUUUUCUCUAUAUUAAAUUGCCUGAUACUGUCAUUUUGUGCCACCAGAUGGCAGCAGAAGGCCGCUAAUAUAGUUCAAGGUUUCAAUGCAUUUAAAAUCCCUUUAAACUAUAUAAAUCCUUAUAAUAUCAUUACAAAUCACAUUUUGUCAAGGUUUACCGCUACAUUUGUUCAUUUGACGUAUGUUUUUUUAGUAAUAUAACAUUACAGUUACAUUGAGACCUGAACAUGAUGAUCUUUAAAGGGGAAACCUAGAAUCUGCAUUUUCUUACCUCAUUAUUGAUUUCAAAUAUCCAUUUCUGCAACAAAAUGUGUGUGUAAGCACGUUUACUUAAUGGAGUUAACAUGCUAUAAUACAAUAUAAAUAUAAUACCUUUUUAUGUAUGUGCUUAAAGGCCUUAAAGUGCUUGAACCCAGAUGAUUGCUGCUCGUGGCUAUAUUUAUUAUUAUUAUUUGUAAUUUUCAAAUCUUUGUGAUGUGAUAAAUAAAAUAUGUAAUUAUUUAAAACGACGUCUGAUAAAACUUGACAAUAUUAAAGGCAAAAUGAAUGAUGGAAGCAAUAAAGAUCAGAAUGGCUUGUAUGUGAACAAAUAAAAUAUAAAGAGAUAAAUAUAAUGAUAAUAUAAAGAGAACUGUAGCCAUAAUCCAGCAGUUAAACUCGUCCAGUAGCUCCUCCCACACAGACAGUAAUUCUUUUAAGUUUCAGAACUUUUUCUUUCUCAAAACAGAAUUAGUCUGUCAUUUCAUUUCUUUUGGAUCUUGACGGACACAUCCCAGCAUCUGUAAUAAAUAGAGGUUUGGGGCAAAAAUGUCUCUAAAUUUGAUGUGAUGUUGUUCCUGGAGAGCCUCUGAAUGUCUGAACGUCUGGAGUCUGACACACUCAGUUCAGUUCAUGAAUCUUUUUUAAGAGCCACUGACCACUUGUUUUAAUAAAGGAUAAUAUUUUGAUCAUAUUAUUAGAAAUAGUUCCCAUUCUCUCCUUUCUAACUCAUUUUAAGAAGGCAUGGCAGUAUCUGAAGGGAGGAGUUUAGUUUCACUGAACCACUUUCCAACAGACCCGCAGAUUCAUUCGCUUUAAGAAACAUUCAACGUUUUCACGAGUGUCAGGAUACGACUAUUAUCACAGUUCUGUUGUCAAACUAUUUCAUAAAAUGCUGAAGAAAAUGUUUAUUUUCAUCAGUUUGUGCUUGUGUCAGGCUGGUGUGUUUGUUGCUGAUGCAGUGAAGUCAGAGUCAGUGACUGAGGGAGAAUCAGUCUCUCUGAACUCUAGUGUCACUCAAAUACAGACACAUGAAGAGAUCGAGUGGAGGUUUGGUGACAUUCUCAUAGCUAAAGUGAAGAACAACAAGAACGUGUUUUAUGAUAUUGAUAAAGAGAGUUUCAAAGACAGACUGAAACUGGAUCAGACUGGAUCUCUGACCAUCAUCAACAGCAGAACCACAGACUCUGGACUUUAUACAGUCUCCAGCAGCAGAGACACGAUCAACACGAUCAAUCUCACUGUCUAUGCUCGUCUGCCUGUUCCUGUCCUCACCAGAGACUGUUCUUCAUCUUCAUCAUCAUCAUGUUCAUUGUUGUGUUCAGCUGUGAAUGUGAGUCAUGUGACUCUCUCCUGGUUCAAAGGAAACAGUUCAUUGUCCAGCAUCAGUGCAUCUAAUGUCAGCAGCAGUCUCUCUCUACCUCUGGAGGUGAAAUAUCAGGAUAAAAACACCUACAGCUGUGUGCUGAACAAUCCCAUCAGAAACCAGACCAGACAUCUCAACAUCACUGAACUCUGUCACACAUGUGCUGCAGGCGAAUCCUCGUUGAUCAUUGGACUGAUCUCUGCUGCUGCUGCUGGAUCUCUGUUGAUUGUAGCUGCUGUCGGGAUCUUCUGCAUCUGCAGGAAGAAAACAGACCAAGAGGGCAAGUAUUCCUACUGCUGAGAUAUCUGUACAAAUAGUUUUUAAAGGCACAGUAAGUUUCACUGCUAGAAGUCAUGACUGUACGAGAACAUAUGAAUGUUGUCUGCUGAACACAAAAGAAGAUAUUUUGAAAAAUGUUGGAAACCAAACAGUUGACAGUAGCUACUGACUUCCAUAGUGUGGGGAAAAAUACUGUUGAAGUCAAUGAAUGUUUGGUUACCCACAAUCUUUAAACUAUCUUCUACUGUGUUCAUCAGAAGAAGGAAAUUCAUACAAGUUUGGAUCAACUGGAGGGUGAACAAAUACUGACAGAAUUUAUUUAUUUAUUGGCUAAACUAUGCCUUUAAUGCGCUCUUGUGUGUAGGCCUAAUUUCUUAUGUGUCUCAUCAUAAGCCUCCAUUACUAAUUCCAACAUGUCAUUUAAGAGCUAGUAAUGGAGCCAUCGAUGUGCAGACUAAUUUGGUUAUUAUACACCCUUAUCAUAGUAAAACCAUGUUUUUUUUUGUUGUUGUUGUUUUCUGUUGCUGUUGUUUUUUUUUGGCACAUUUGUAUGACCAAAAAAAAAAAAAACUUGUUUAAAACAGUUAAACCAUGGUUAAUUUGUGGUUACCAUCAUUUAACUACAUGAUUCAUGUUUUUUUUUUAUUUAUUUUUUUUUUUUUUUUAUUCAUUAUUAAAACCAUGGCUCAUACCUUACACUUCAACCAAUCAGAAUCAAGCAUCCCACAGCCCUGUAUUAUAAUAUUAUAAUAUUAAAAUAAUGAAAAUCAGUGCUGCAGAAAAAACAACAAUAAUUCUUUAUUUGUCAUUUUUGUUGAAGCAGUUCAGAGCGGUGAAGAAAUCACAUACGCUGAUCCAACGUUCUACAAACGAAGAGCACAGAAAUCGAGAGCUCAAGAAGAUGUGGCAUACGCAGGAGUCGUCAUGCGACACUGAUAGAAAUGUGCUCCUGUUGAAGGGCUGUUAAAAAGGAAAUGACUGGUUUUAUUCCAGGGCUCUGAGCAGUGCUUUUGUUGUGUGUAUGUUUGUAGAUUGUUCUGUUAUAGUAAUGUGUUCAGACAGUUUUGUAUUUCUCUGCUGGAGCCUGUAUGAACCUGAUUGAGCUUCUCCUCAGUGAACAUGUUCUUUCACAGCUCUCUCACUGUGAUGUUUUAAAGUGUAAAAUGUUUAUAUGCAAGUCGUUUAUUUCAAAAUCUUCAUAUUUUAUUGCUUUGACACUUAUACCUUUACUCCCAUUUUGUAGUUUAUUGCUCAUUUUGCUGUUUGAUAUUUUGUUGUAAAUACAAAAUAAAUAUAUACAUAAACAAUAAUAUAAAUGAUUUCCACUGAUAUCCUCUAUUUCAUUGUGUACUAUAUUUCAAAAUAACAUCUUUUGUCUGGUCACAUUCACAUUCUGUAUUUACUUACAACUAUUUUUAACAGACACUUUUAUUCAGAAAAUAAAAUCUUCUAUGCCAUUCAUUGAGAUAAAAUAAAGUUAAGUCUUUAAAGUUAAAGACUGACAUUAAUCAAUAAACAUCUGAAGAAAAAAUGAUUUGGUAUGAAUGUUGUGUGAAAUUAUGUGAUAAACAAUCCCUUAAGCACCUGAAAAACAUGAAGAAGGCGUGAAGUGUGAAAGUUAGCCAGGAUGAUCAAGUAUGAAUCCGUCUUGAGCCAAGGAUUUCAAUGACAUAAGACACUUGAGCCUGUAACUUUAGGAGUUAUGAGCAAUUUUGAUCCCAGCCUGAUCACUUUUAGGGGAGAAUAGUGAUCCUCGGUAAUUUUAACAAUUAAAAUAGAACAGACGGACGUGUUAAUGUGCUAAUGUUCUAAAAAUUAACUGUCACCUCUUGUUUAGAGACACUUUAAUGAUUAACACGCUACAGUUUAAU